UUUUUUUGUUUUCCCUCCCCACAAACCCCCAGCCCUCCCUGUGAAGCUGAGUCACAGUAUCUGGGGCAAUUUGCUAAAGAGUUGUUCCCAUUUAAAUUAUAUCCCAAUUUGACUAAACCUAGAAAACCCAGAAUCUGUUUUCCCUGUAUGAAACAGAUGAGCCAGGUUUUGUGGCAGAAAGUUUCUUGGGAGGAAUGGUAACAGGCUCCAUCUCCCCAGACGACCACAUAAGAAAAAUCUCCCUGAAACAUGGCACUGGGAUGGGCCUCUUAAGCUGCCUUUUCCAUCCGAACAACCAGAUAUCAGAGGCUUUGAUGAAGCCACUGCUGAACAGAUGAAGGCCUGGAACAUGAGGUUUCAGUUGAUGAAGACAAUUUCUUAGAAACUUUUAGAUACAAACUGGGAUUGUUAUAUACAAAUGUUUCCUGCAAUCAUUGUGUGCUACUGAAUUGUUCCUCUUUAAUGUUCACCAGAGCUUAUAGACAGGGAGCAGGUUGUACAAAAUAUUUUACAGACAUCAAAAUCGGCAAACCUUGUAUAUAACAGAAAGAACAUAAAGGUUUAGAUCAGAAAGACCUAGACUGAAUUCACAAGCUCUGUCACAGAGGGGCUGAUUGAUUUCGAUAACUAACACCCCCACCUGCCUCAGGGCCUUAGUUUCUUGCAUCUGUUUUUGUUUUUGAAGUCCAACAUGUUAUUGUGGAAGUUCUCACUGUGGUUCAGCAGUAAUAAACCCCACUAGUAUCCAUGAGGAGGAGGGUUCGACCCCUGGCCUCGCUCAGUUGGUUAAGGAUCUGGCAUUGCCAUGAGCUGCAGUGUAGGUUGCAGACAUGGCUCGGAUCUGGCAUUGCUGUGGCUCUAUGGUGUAGGUCACAGACGCGGCUCGGAUCUGGGCGUUGCUGUGGCUGUGGCGUAGGCCAGUGGCAACAGCUCUGAUGAGACCCCUGGCCUGGGAACCUCCUUAUGCUGUGGGUGCAGCCCUAAAAAGACCAAAAAAAAAAGAAAAAAAAAAAAAGAAAAGAAAUGGAUCCUCCAAACUCAGUCAAGCCUUCAUAUGACUGCAGAGAAACCCUGAGCCAGAACCACUCACCUAAGCCACUCCCAGAUUCUUGACCCUCUGAAAUUGUGGGAGAUGACAGACAAUAUUUGUUGGUUUAAGUUGCGGAGGCAUCUAUUACACCACAAUAAAUAACCAAUACAUCAGGUUACAUGAAGAGUUGCAAGGUCUAGCAGAAGGAAAAAAAAAUCUAUGAAGGCUGGGAGUUUGUCAAAGAAUUAAGUUUGGGAGGAAGGAUGGGUGCAACAGGUAAAGGAACGGUCGUGGGCUGUGGAUAUGAAUAAAUGGGACAGAGGGGCAGGAAAGUAUCAGAUGGGUUCAAUGGGCAGUGCAGAGAGAGACACAGAUGCCAGCCAGGGUGUCUGACCUUCUAAUUCAGGCAACAGAGGCUAAGUAUGGAUCCCUGAGAAAGGAGAUGCCUAGGCAGGAACACGGAAGAUGGAUCAGCUCUGUAAAACCAGAAGCAAGGAAGUCAAGCAGGAACCUUUUGUCAUGACCCAGGGGAGGAAAUAAGGAGUGCAGAGCACCGAGUAGAGCUGAAGAAAGACUGGGGAGAAGAGAUGAAUGAGAGAUACAUCAUGAAUAUGCUCCACCUGCCAGAGCCUGAGGUUUCUGAAUCCUCACUUAGUCAUUUGGUCUGUGUGCACACUCGGUUCCACGCCUGAGGACACAACUACCAUGGGACACAUAUGUCAGCCAAAGCCCCGCCAUCCAUGCAUAUAACAUGCUGUUCUGGCCCAGGACACACUGCACUAACCAAAUGAAUGCCGUAAAUACUGGAGAUGCUACAGACACAAAAUUAGAGUCAUCGUGGAAACUUUGUUUCCUCUUAAAUCACCGCAACCGCAAGAACCGACUCCAAAUUAUGCUGUUAUCUUUAAUAAAAUCCAAUACUACUAAUAAAAGAGGACAUUGUGGAAGUGACACCCAGAAAAUUCAAAAAUAAUCCUUCACCACAGAGACACGUCUGAGGAGGAAAGCCCUCAGAAACAAUAUUAGUGUUAUUAAUCUCGUCCAGUCAUCCACGGCACAGGAGAAAUACCUCCAAAAUGCCGAUGGAGUUUCAGAUACCAUGUACACUGUGGGAUCUUUGGGAUUCCCUGGAAAGGGGAUACUGUCCCAUAACAAGAGGCUGCCGAAGCCACUGCUCAUGUUGGGAGGAGUGAGGGCCAUUCUAGUGAAACCAGAGCAGGACAGCCGACAAAAGGGUCCUUCCCUUUGGCCAGCUGUCUUUGACUCAUAAGAGUCUCCAGGGACUGGAGGCAAGGGGGCAUCAAGCCACUGGGGUGGGAAGAGCAAUGUGGCCCUCCCUUCCCACACCUACGAGGCCAGUGCCCACCCGGUUUGGCAUGUGUGGGAGGUUGUCUGGCCUGCACCCAUUUGACAGCUAGGGAACCUGAGGCUGAGAGAGACCUAGAACUACUGGCCCAGGACAAACAGGCUGAAGAGUCCACUGUGACCUCAUCCUGGCUUCUCUGACCUCCACCCCAUGAUAGAGAGGAAGGAGCAAGAUUCUUCUAGAGAACCUCUGGGGAAGGCACUAUGCUCUGAGAGUCACAUCCACCCAGAAACAAAACUUGAACCUUCAGUUCCGUAUACUUGAAGCCCACCCAGACUCUGCCAGGUCCUGGGAUGGAGAGAUGAGUGCGGGAGCUAUGAACGGAAACAGGGACUCAGGCAGUAUCAUGGAGAGAGAAGAUGAUCAGAGCCGACCAACCAAAGGCUGACUAGCAAAGGUGAGGGGGGAGCAGGCUUACUGGAGAAGGUGACGUGCAAAGGGUGGUCGGUGUCCUGAUGGGGGUUGGGGGUAUAUGUGUGACAAAGGUCAUUCAGAGAGCUUGCGAUGGCCGGG
ensembl:lncRNA